GGGAAAGUGGAAGGGGUGGAAGUUGCUCGUUUCAUAACAUUAAUCAUUACUUGCUGGAGUUUUCAAGUUUCUUCAACCUCUAGUAAGUAGAUGGAAAUUGAUAAUUAUUUUCUUAUGAAAAUUUGGUUGAAGGUUAUGAAUGGUAUUCAAUUGAAUUAUGAAACAUAAUAUAUUCAAUAAGGAAG